AACGAACGCUGGCGGCAUGCCUAACACAUGCAAGUCGAACGAGACCUUCGGGUCUAGUGGCGCACGGGUGCGUAACGCGUGGGAAUCUGCCCUUGGGUUCGGAAUAACAGUUAGAAAUGACUGCUAAUACCGGAUGAUGUCUUCGGACCAAAGAUUUAUCGCCCAAGGAUGAGCCCGCGUAAGAUUAGCUAGUUGGUGAGGUAAUGGCUCACCAAGGCGACGAUCUUUAGCUGGUCUGAGAGGAUGAUCAGCCACACUGGGACUGAGACACGGCCCAGACUCCUACGGGAGGCAGCAGUGGGGAAUAUUGGACAAUGGGCGAAAGCCUGAUCCAGCAAUGCCGCGUGAGUGAUGAAGGCCUUAGGGUUGUAAAGCUCUUUUACCAGGGAUGAUAAUGACAGUACCUGAGAAUAAGCUCCGGCUAACUCCGUGCCAGCAGCCGCAGUAAC
rnacentral:rRNA from 1 species